rnacentral:rRNA from 1 species
UACGAAGGGGGCUAGCGUUGUUCGGAAUUACUGGGCGUAAAGGGCUCGUAGGUGGCCAACUAAGUCAGACGUGAAAUCCCUCGGCUUAACCGGGGAACUGCGUCUGAUACUGGAUGGCUUGAGUUUGGGAGAGGGACGCGGAAUUCCUGGUGUAGCGGUGAAAUGCGCAGAUAUCAGGAAGAACACCCGUGGCUAAGGCGGCUCUCUAGUACGGUACUGACGCUGAGACGCGAAAGCGUGGGGAGCGAACAGG